UAAGUAUUUGUUGCCUGAGGACAUAUGAAGUAAACUCCCUGAAGCUCUGUGAGAAGACUUGAUGAUAGGAAAACAAAACUUCUUUCUAAAGGAAGAGGCUCUGACUCAUCUCCACCCAAACUUUCAGGUUUCCUGAAGGCUUGCUUCCCCAGACGUUGGCACCCCACCCAGAUCUUCUUUGAUAUGCCAGUUUUUAGGAAACUACCUGCUGAAGAGAAGCUGAGGCCAAGGUGAGAAUUUGCCCAGCUCAUACCCAGUUUAUUUCUGAUCCAGGGAUGGGAGAACCUUGGAAACCAGGAGGGUGAUUUAAAUGAGAGGUUUAUUGGGCACAGAGAAUGAAUUUUGAUUCUGCUUUAUUUUUAUGAUCUUUUUUGUUAUUAAAGUAAUGA